UAGCUAAAGCCCAAAGCCAGAGAAAAAUCGAGGCAGAGAACCUUCCAUCCCACACUAUAAAACAGCACCUUCACUCUCCAAUUUUCUCAUCACACUUAGCAAACUCAUUCAUAUCAAAUCUUCAUUUCUCUUCCAUUUCUCCAAAUUCCAAGAGGUAAUCAUGGGUGUGAUCACUUACGAUGUAGAGACCCCUUCCUCCAUCCCGGCCGGGAAGCUCUUCAAGGCCCUGGUGAUCGACUCCGACACCCUCAUCCCCAAGAUCCUGCCUCAGGCCAUCAAGAACGUCGAGAUCUUGGAAGGAGACGGCGGCGCCGGCACCGUCAAGAUCAUUCAUUUUGGCGAAGGGAGUCAGUAUAAGAGCGUCAAGCACCGUGUGGAGGCCAUCGACAAGGAGAACUUCACCUACACCUACACCAUCAAUGAAGGUGAUGUUCUCGCAGAUGUCAUUGAAUCCAUCACUUACCAUAUCAAGGUCGUCCCAACCGAAGAUGGAGGAAGCAUCUGCAAGAACAGGAGCAUUUACAACACCAAGGGUGAUGCUGUGAUUGAUGAGGAGAAGAUCAAGGAGGGGAAAGACAAGGCCCAACAUAUGUUCAAGGCCAAUGAGGCUUACAUCACCGCCAACCCCGACUACUGAAAGAGACGAGGCUUCAUAUAUCAAUGAUGUCAUUUUAUAUAUAUACGUGGUUUCUGAUAUGAGAUAAUUGGUGUGCGAGAGACUAUGUAUAGGCUUAAUUGCCUAGAGUGAUAUCGAUUUACUUUGUGUGAUUUUUGAAUUUGUGUUGAGUGAAUAUUAUUGUAUUGAAUUUGUGUUGCACUAAAUAAAGAAGCAUAGUUUUUUUUUUUUUUUUUUGAAUUAAUAAAGAAGCAUAGUUAAUUGCAAGUUUGGUGGUCGUGGGAUUAAUAUUUUUAUUGUUCUCUUGUGGUUGUUUUGUUUCUUUAUUUAGGGGUAACUAAUAUAUCCAUAUAUUUCAGAUUAGCAUAUGAACAUAAAUUUCACCUCAAAAUACAAGAACUUUCAUUUUUUAUUUUUUAUUUUUUUCUUUCUAACUUUGCACCUGAUAAAUAAUUUAACGUUGAAAACUGAGGAAGAUGUUGGAAUUAAUCUAUGUAUGCAUAGAGUUUUGAUAUAUAUUUUUAAUGAAUGAAUACUGAGGUAGAAGUCAGAAUUAUCUUUACAUGCAACGAAUUUUUUUUAUAAACAACAUAGUUAGACUAGUAAUGAAAUAUUGUCGUUUCAUCAUAAAAUAAGUCCUAUAUUUUUAGAUGAUCAUUUAAAGCAUUUUUUUUUUUGCAAUUUAAGACUAAGAGCAGUGGCGGAUCCAGGGGGGGCUAGGGGGGGCUUCAGCCCCCUCCCAAUUUUUGAGUUUUUUUUUUUAAAUUAUAGAUAUAUAUUUAUUAUUUUGUUUUAUAUCUAUAUAUAUGUGUAUAUAAAUAAAAAAAUACAAGAAAAAAUAUAGUAAUACAUUAUUUAUAGUAUCCAACUAUCCAUAUUAAUUGCUCAACACAUUGAGUUGUUACAUUUAUAGUAUUAUUUUUAUCAUUUUUUCUUUCUUAGUUAAUUUUUAAUGUUAAAUUUGAGUCAAUUCUAAAGGUAAAAGUAAAAUUACUAAUUACUAACAAUGAAAAUUAGUUUAUUUGUUUAGAAGAUGAAACAAUUUUUUUUUAAGAAAAAUGAAUAAAAGUACGUUUUUAUAUGCUUUCAAUCUACUUGAUGUUGAAUUAAUUGAAUUGCGAACAAUUAUCUUAUUAUAUUAAGUGAUUGUUGAAAAAAUGUAUGAAAUGAAGUGUACGGAAUGCUCAAAAAAAUUUGCUUCGGGGGCUCCCGCCCCCGAACCCCCGUGUAAAUAUUUUCAAGCACCGUAGUCCAAUAGAUUCAGCCCCCCCUAACAUUGAAUCCUGGAUCCGCCCCUGACUAAGAGGGUUGUGAGUUCACGAUCAAGGCCGUACUUCAUUAUUCGUGAUUCAUGAUUUUGAAUUCGUUGUUCGGGUCCAAUAUUUAGGUUCACAUAAUUAGGUCUUCGAGUUGUGUGUUUGUAAUUGAAUCCGUUGAAAAUAUUUUUAAUUUGUGUGCAAGAUUAGGGGGAAAAAAAUGAAAUUUUAUAUAUUUGGAAAUAUGAUUUAUAGCUCAUGUGCAAAAUAAAAAAAUAUAUAAAUUUUUUUAAGAUGCUAUUACCACUUUUAUUUAUUUUCGAGUUGAGUUCAAAAUCAUAAUUAAGGAAGACUGAUAAAAUCUAGAGGUCAAUCGUUUAGGUUGCUCACUGACAAUGAAAUGUGCAAAAUUAAUAUAAAAAUAGGCCAGUGAACCAUGUGGAUUGAAUCGGAGUCUUUUUUAGGUUCAUUUAUAUAGUUGGACAUAAAAGGGGAUAGAGGUUUAAUUCACUCAGUAUAAAAGUUGACGGUGAAUUUUAGACCAAUUAAUGAGAAACAAAUUUUUUAGAAAAUCAAGAAUUUAUGAAUAACUUUUAAUAAAAUAUCAUAUAUAUUUAUUUUCUUUAUCCAGUACUUGAUUUUUAUCCUGUGAUUAUUUAUUAGAUUGCUGAUCCAGUGACUUGAUUUUUAUUGUAUUGGAAAUUGAAUUAUAUAUUCUAGGGUAAAUUUAAUCUAAAACUAUAAUAAAUUUUUGUAAUAUUUUAUUUUUUUUCCAUAAUCUUUUAUUCUUGUUUCAUAAUCUAUUUGAAAUCUCUUGAUUUGAGUUUAGUCUGUAUCUCUGGGCCAAAACGUCAAAUUUGUAUAUGGCCCAAAGGCUUUUAAUGGGCUACAUAGUCAAAUGGGCCGAAUUUUUAGGUCGAGAGUCCAUUGGGUCAAAAUUGCAACUACAGAACGGAAUAUUCUAUUUAAGGAGAUUGGAGUACUUGGACGACGCUGGGGUCAAAAAUUAUUAAUGCGAAUUUUUUUCUAAAUAUUAGACUUUUAAUAAUACAGAGACGACUCUUUACAGAAAUGAAUAUUUUUUAAACAAAAUACUACUUAUAAUAUAUAGUUUAUCCUCGUAUCUUAAGUGACUUUAUUUGUAGGUAUUAUUGUUCGUUUUUUAGUUAAAUGCUUAUUAUGAUGUUUGUAAUUGCAAAAAAUUAAAAGGCAUUCGUAUGAAAAUUGUAUAUUCAGAAAAGAUGGGUUAUUAUUGUGUGAUCACAAUUCACAAGCUUGAGCAGACUUAUUCAAGGAGAUUUGCUGCUCAAAUUUGUGUUCACAUUUAUUGCCAAAUACAAUCAAGAGAAAGUGUAGACUAGUCUACCAUGGAGUGCUACGUACAACCAAUUUUGGUCUUAAAAUAAAUGCAAGUGUGAAUUUUUCUUCUUAUUCUGUUUCUAUAUAUAUAAUUGAAAUAGCUCUCAAUUGACCCUACAAGAAUGCUUCAACUUGUGAUGUCAAAGCAAUUAUAGUAAAGACUGUGAAGUAAUAUAAAAAUACGAUUAACUUACAUCAUUCGGGAAAUUUUCUAUGCAUUUUCUUGACAUGUUUCACAUGCAUGCCACAAGGUGAAGCAAAAAACAUAUGACUUCUUAUUCAUUUUAAUUUAAUACUAAGUUAAAGUUAACUUAAAUCAAUAUCAUGAUUUGGCAUUGACGAACUCAUGCAGCUUAUAAAAUAUCAAGCAUAAUGAUUAGAUAAAAAUCGUCAUACUCGAGUGGUAAAAAAGAAAGAUACAGAUCCUUUUGGGACGGCUAAUGGUAAAGUGAAUAUAAACGUGGUUUAAGUCUGUUAUAUAGACCUAUUUUUUUAAAAUGAGAUUUGCAGAUUUCACAGAAACAUAGAUUUAUCAAAUAAUACGACUUGUCACACAUAGUUUUUGAUGUAUGAUUUGUCUGUAUCGAAUCUUAAUAUCAUAAUGAAUAGUUUUUUUUUUCACAUUUUUUCACUAUUUUCAAUACUAAUUACAAUACAUUUUCACCACUUUCAAUACUAAUUACUCCCUCCGUCCCGGUCAAAGUGGUGCACUUCUUUUGGGCACGGGAUUUAAAGAGAAUAAGAUUGUAGUGUAAAAGUGUGUAAAUGUGUGUGGGGCCAUAUUUUUUGUAGUGUAAAAUUAUUACCAAAAAAGGAAAUGCACCACUUUCGGUGGGACAGCCCAAAAAAGAAUACGCACUACUUUCGGUGGGAUGGAGGAAGUAUAAUAUUUUUCACUAUUUACAAUAUACUCAACAAUUUUGUAUUAAAAUUCGUACCCCUUAGGAAGUUAUUUGGGGGUCGGUAGAGGAUAAUGCCAUGUUCUAUGACACCCCAAAAUAUCAUCGAUUAUUAAAUCAAUCCAUAAAUGCACCAUGAAUAAUUAUGUCUACAUUCAACGAGAUGGGGCUAGCUAAAGCCCAAAGCCAGAGAAAAAUCGAGGCAGAGAACCUUCCAUCCCACACUAUAAAAUAGCACCUUCACACUCUCCAAUUUUCCCAUCACACUUAGCUAAUCUCAUUCAUAUCAAAUCUUCACUUCUCUUCCAUUUCUUCAAAUUAAAAAAAAAAGGGAAUCAUGGGUGCGAUCACUUAUGAUGUAGAGACCCCUUCCUCCAUCCCGGCCGGGAAGCUCUUCAAGGCCCUGGUGAUCGACUCCGACACCCUCCUCCCCAAGAUCCUGCCUCAGGCCAUCAAGAACGUCGAGAUCUUGGAAGGAGACGGCGGCGCCGGCACCGUCAAGAUCAUUCAUUUUGGCGAAGGGAGUCAGUAUAAGAGCGUCAAGCAUCGUGUCGAGGCCAUCGACAAGGACAACUUCACCUACACGUACAGCAUCCUUGAAGGUGAUGUUCUCUCAGAUGCCAUUGAAUCCAUCACUUACCAUAUCAAGGUCGUCCCAACCGAAGAUGGAGGAAGCAUCUGCAAGAACAGGAGCAUUUACAACACCAAGGGUGAUGCUGUGAUUGAUGAGGAGAAGAUCAAGGAGGGGAAAGACAAGGCCCAACAUAUGUUCAAGGCCAUUGAAGCUUACAUCACCGCCAACCCCGACUACUGAACGAGACGAGGCUUCGUAUAUCAAUGAUGUCAUUCUAUAUACGUGGUAUCUCUGAUGCGAGAGGAUCGGUGUGCGAGAGACUAUCUAUAGGCUUAAUUGCCUAGAGUGAUAUUGAUUUACUUUGUGUGGUUUUUGUAUUUGUGUUGAGUGAAUAUUACUGUAUUGAAUUUGUGUUGCACUAAAUAAAGAAGCAUAAUUAAUGUUGCAAGUUUGGUGGUAGUGGGAACAUUUUUAUUUUUCUCGUGGUUGUCUUGUUAUUUUAUUUAAGUGUAAUUAAUAACCGUAUAUUUCGGAUUACGCAUAUGAGUAUAAAUUAAAUUUCGUCUCAAAAUACAAUAACUUUUUUUUUUCUCUAGCUUUGCACCUGAUCAUAAAUAUUUUUGACGAAUAAAUAUUGAUAUAGAAGCCAAAGUUAUCUUUAUGUGCAACGAAAAUCUUCAUAAGCAAUAUAAUUUGAUUAGUAAUAAAAUAUUGUCGUUUCAUCAUAAAAUAAGUCUCAUAUUUUUAGAUGAUCAUUUAAGGCAUUAUUUUUCACAAUUUAAAAUUAAAGGGCUGCGAGUUCACGAUUGAUUCAUGAUUUUGGUUCAUAUAUUUAGGGCUUCGAGUCGUGGAUUCGUGAUUGAGUUGUGAAUGUUUGAAAAUAUCUUUAAUAUGCUUUGGAAAAAAAAAUUAUAUAUUUGGAGACAUGACUUAUGGCUCAUGUGCGAAAUAGAUAAAUGUUAUAAAAUUUUGUAUUUUAGAUACUAUAACCACUUUUAUUUAUUUUCGAGUUUGAGUUCAAAAUAUUACUCCCUCCGUCCCAAUAAAAGUGGCCACAUUUCCUUUUUGGGUGUCCCAUUAAAAGUGGCUACUUUCUAAAAAUGGCAAAAGUUUACUUUAAUUAAGUCAACAAUUACUCACUAAUUUGGUCAACAAUUGUAGGCCAUUUUCUAAAAAUGUCAAAAUUACUUACUAAUUUGGUCAACAAUUGUAGGCCACUUUCUAAAAAUUACUCACUAAUUUUGGUGGGUCACACUCAAUUAAAACAUAACAAUUCCCUUCUUAAUCUCCGUACCUAAAAAAAAGUGGUCAUUUUUAUUGGGACGGAGGGAGUAAUAAUUAAGGAAGACUAAUGAAUCUAGAGGUCAAUAUAUCGUUUAGGUUGCUCACUGACAAUGAAAUGAGUAAAAUUAAUAUAAAAAUAGGCACCAUGUGGAUUAAAUCGGAGUCUUUUUCAGGUUUAUUUAUUUNUUAGGUUAUUUAGUUUAGUUGGACAUAAAAGGGGUUGGGAGGUUUAAUUCACUCAUUAUAAAAAUUGACGGUGAAUUUUGGACCAAUUAAAGAGAAACAAUCUUUAGUUAUAUCAACUCUUAUUAUAUUUACGGAGACUAUUUAUAGAAAAUUCAAGAAUUUAUGAAUAACUUUUAAUAAAUUAAAUAUCCUUUAUACAUUUAUUUUCUUUAUCCAGUGACUAUUUAUUGGAUUGCUUAUCCAGUGACUUGAUUUUUAUUGUAUUGGAUAUUGAAUUAUUAUAGGGGUAAUUUUGACAUCUCGCCGGGGAUUUUUUAGACAAAACUUUAAAAUAAAAAAGUGCAAAUAAAAGUUACUAAUGCGAAAAAUAUUCUAAAUAUUAGACUUUUAAUAAUAUAGAGACUCUUUAACUCUUUACAGAAAUUAAUAUUUUUUAAACAAAAGAUACUAAUAAUAGAUUGUUUAUCCCCGUAUCUUAUAAAGUGACUAGAUUUGUACGUAGGUAUUAUUGUUCGUUUUUGAGUCAAAUGCUUAUUAUGCUGGUUUUAAAAGGCAGUACUGUAAUUACCAUGCAUAUUUUAAUAUUCGUAAGAAAAUUGUUAAGAAAGAUGGGUUAUUGUGUGAUCACAAGCUUGAGCAGACUUAUUCAAGGAUAUUUGCUGCUCAAAAUUUGUGUUCGCAUUGUCUUGCCAAAUACAUACAAGAGAAAGUGUAGACUAGUCUACCAUGGAGUGCUACAACCAAUAUUUGGUCUCAAAAUAAAUGCAAGUGUGAAUUUUUCUUCUUAUUCAGUUUCGAUAAUUGAAAUACCUCUCAAUUGACCCUACAAGAAUGCUUCAACUUGUGAUGUCAAAUCAAUUAUAGGUAAUAAAGACCGUGAAGUAAUAUCAAUAUAUGAUUAACUUACAUAGUUACAUAAAUCUAACAGAAAAAAAAACAAGAAGAAAAGUCCACAACGAGGCACUAACUAAUUUUGUAAAUGAUACUCUCUUCGUCCUCUAAAUAACUUCAUAUCUGUCCCCAAGGGGACACCAAGCGGUGCGAAUAGUGAAUAAAAAAUAAAAUAAAAAAUAAUUAUGUGAAUAGUGAGGUCUCGGGUUCAAACUCCACUGCCCCCCUCCCCAACACCCCCAUGUAAAAAAAUAAAAAAUAAUAAUAACUUCAUAUCUUUUUUUUAGGUUGUCUCCCAAAUAAUUUACUAGUACUUUAUUUUAGGACACUAUCCCAACUUUUCAUAAUACUUCAUUUAUUCUUUUUUUUUUCACCACUCUCAAUACUAAUUACAACACCUUUUCAUCUUUUAUUAUUAUUAUUAUUAUUAUUAUUAUUAUUAUUAUUAUUAUUAUUAUUAUUAUUAUUAUUAUUAUUAUUAUUAUGCACUCAAUAAUUUUAUCUUAAAAUCAAUGGGCCCCCUCAAAAGAUUAUUUGGAGGAUGGAGGGAGCAUAAUGCCAUGUUAUAUGACACCACAAAUAUCAUCAAUUAUUAAAUUCAAACCAUAAUUAAUGCAUCACGAAUAAUUGAGUUGCCAUUCAACGAAAUGGGGCUAAAGCCCAAAGCCAAAGAAAAGUCGAGGUAGAGAACCUUCCAUCCCACACUAUAAAAUAGCACCUCACACUCUCCAAUUUUCCCAUCACACUUAGCUAAUCUCAUUCAUAUAUAUCAAUCACUAAUCAAUCUUCACUUCUCCUCCAUUACUCCAAUUUUUUAAAAAAGAGAAUCAUGGGUGCGAUCACUUAUGAUGUAGAGACCCCUUCCUCCAUCCCGGCCGGGAAGCUCUUCAAGGCCAUCGUGCUCGAGCCGACACCCUCAUCCCCAAGAUCUUGCCUCAGGCCAUCAAGAACGUCGAGAUCUUGGAAGGAGACGGCGGCGCGGCACCGUAAGAUCG
rnacentral:lncRNA from 1 species